rnacentral:misc_RNA from 1 species
UACGGAGGGUGCAAGCGUUGUCCGGAUUUAUUGGGUUUAAAGGGUGCGUAGGCGGCCAAUUAAGUCAGGGGUGAAAUCCCGGGGCUCAACCCCGGAACUGCCUUUGAUACUGGUUGGCUUGAGUUCGGUAGAGGCGGGCGGAACUGGUGGUGUAGCGGUGAAAUGCAUAGAUACCACCAAGAACCCCGAUUGCGAAGGCAGCUCGCUGUGCCGAAACUGACGCUGAGGCACGAAAGCGUGGGGAGCAAACAGG